rnacentral:SRP_RNA from 1 species
GCCAGGCAUGGUGGUGCAUGCCUGUAAUCCCAGCUACUUGGGAGGCUAAGACAGGAGAAUCGCUUGAACCCAGGAGUCGGAGGCUGCAGUGAGCUGAGAUUGUGCCACUGCGCUCCAGCCUGGGUGACAGAGCGAGACUCCAUCUCAA